UUGUGUUUUCUGACUCGUCGUAACGUUUCCCCACGGAGUUUGUGUUACUGUUAUGUCCACGUUUUGAAUGUCAAACAAAUGAACUGUCAACUGAGUCUGAAGGCUGUUCACCGCUGCACCGACUCAUUAACUGAUGAGUUAAUGAGGAGCGAGCUGGCCCGCAAAACGGAGAGGGACGCAGGGCCCAGAGUAAUGGACGAAGGUAGACCUCAAAUCCUCAACUCCAGUCUGGCGGUCUAGAGUUGCUCCAAACCUGUCAUCUAACGCCAUCAGCAGGAUGAUUACAGGAGCCUCUCCAAAAAAAAAACAGAAAGAAAACCGAGUCCAAACACUUCAGUUCCCAGGUCGCGAUUUUCGAACGUGACCAUUUCACGAACUGCCAUGACACUGGGCUGCUCUGGGGGACGCAACAACGGGGAAAUGAAACACCACACACUGGCGACAACAACGAGACGGACCGCCACACACGAACGAUGCGAUCCCCGGGCGCAGGGACACGAUCCGUCGUCUCUGUGGCACGCAACAACGGGGACAUGAAACGCCACAUGUCGGACACAACAACAGGACGGUUGUGGUUAGGAAAAGAACAAUAAACAAUGACAUCACAUAAUAUUGGUAUAUACUAAAGGUGUGGCGAACCCAAAGGUAAUUAUCACAGACUUUGCAACUCUGUAGCAGCAGCAGACCCAGUCAGAGACGAGCUGGGGAACACAGCGGAGCAUUCAGCAGCCAAAGAGACAAAGAUUUCCUCAGGAGCUGCUGGAGACAUCUUAAAGAGAGAUAAUAUUUGACUGACAUUAAUCAGGAGGACACCAACACCACUUCAAAUAAAUGCUAAUGUUGCUCUGUGACAUAAUAUAUGUGACAUAUGGUGAUAUUAUUAUGUCAUUGUUGAGUUUACCGCUUGUUGCUGCUUGGUAAAGCCAAAGUAAACAGAGAAUGUUGUUGACCAGCGCUGAGAGAGCAGUUAUCCAGGAUUGUGUUACGAUCCUGUGUGAUACAACUGUGUUGUAGAAAGACAUUAAAUGAAACUUGAUGUUGUAUCAUCAUCAAAUGCAUUUUCCAUUCAGUCUGAAGGUGGCUGUAGAAC